GGAACUAUUUCGACCGUCUUUACACUAAUGAGCCGACUUAGGGCCCAUUUAAUAGUCAGCCCAUACAUUCAGUUUCUUUAGUUUUUUAUUAAUUAAUUAAUAUAAUAAUUUUAUCUUCCCGGUCUUACGCGUUCAAAAUUAUGUCCGUUACCACUAAGAAUCGUCGUCGUCUUCUCUUUCUUAAUAGUUUGUUUAGAGCGAUAGUCCCAAGAUCGCCCCAAAAAGGAUGAAGCUCAAAUCGAACUUGAAGCAGCUUAAUAAGCUCUCCGUUCCAGCUCAGCAAACCCCAAUCUCUUCCUUCUUGACUGCAAGUGGAACGUUUCACGAUGGAGAUUUUCUUCUAAACCAGAAGGGGUUAAAGCUGACGUCAGAUGAUAAGCAAUCGAGGCCUUCUGAUAGCAAAGAGCUUGAUUUCGAAAUCACUGCUGAAGACUUAGAGACUGUGAGAGUCAUCGGUAAAGGCAGCGGUGGAGUUGUACAAUUGGUUCGUCACAAAUGGGUUGGCAAGUUAUUUGCUAUGAAGGUCAUACAGAUGAACAUACAAGAAGAAAUUCGUAAGCAAAUUGUCCAGGAGCUCAAAAUAAACCAAGCAUCAUCUCAGUGUCCACAUGUUGUUGUCUGCUACCACUCUUUCUAUCACAAUGGAGCCUUUUCCCUUGUGCUUGAGUAUAUGGACCGUGGCUCUCUUGUUGAUGUCAUAAGACAAGUGAAGACUAUCCUUGAGCCUUACCUUGCUGUCGUCUGUAAACAGGUUUUGCAGGGGCUAGUUUACCUGCACAACGAAAGACAUGUCAUACACAGAGACAUUAAACCAUCAAACCUUCUUGUGAAUCAUAAAGGAGAAGUGAAAAUCUCGGACUUUGGUGUCAGUGCAAGUCUUGCUAGCUCCAUGGGACAGAGGGACACAUUUGUUGGAACCUACAACUAUAUGUCGCCUGAGAGGAUCAGUGGAAGCACAUACGACUACAGCAGCGACAUUUGGAGUUUGGGGAUGUCAGUGUUAGAAUGUGCAAUAGGAAGAUUCCCAUACUUGGAAUCUGAAGACCAGCAAAACCCGCCUAGCUUUUAUGAGCUUUUGGCAGCAAUCGUAGAGAGUCCACCACCAACUGCUCCUUCUGAUCAAUUCUCCCCUGAAUUUUGCUCCUUUGUAUCAGCCUGCUUACAAAAGGAUCCUCCAGCAAGAGCAUCAUCCUUGGACCUGUUGAGUCAUCCAUUCAUAAAGAAGUUUGAGGACAUGGAUAUUGAUCUCGGGAUACUUGUUGGCACUCUGGAACCACCUGUUAACUGCCUUAGAUAAGUAAGCCUUCUUUUUUUCUUCUGCAUUUUGUAUAUGAUAUGGUAAGAUACAUGAUGUGUAAUGUGUCUGAGCGUCGGAAAAGAUUAUUAUUACUUAAUGAACAAAACCGGAUGAGAUUUUAUUAUUCAUUCUUUAAUAUGAAAUAUUCAGGUUUUUGUUGAAUACGUGAUUAAGUAGACGGAGUCAAUUAUAUAACUUAUUUUUUCUCCAA